rnacentral:snoRNA from 1 species
UUGCCCAAUGAUUAUAGCAAGACGCGUUAUUACGAGGACUAAUGCUGGAACUCUACUUCUUACUCUUGCUCUUCCCUUUUCUUCUUUGUCCUUCUUUGCUUUCACCUUUUUUAUCCCUCACUUAUUUUCUUGGGGUGUCCAGCGUCCUAUGAACACGAUUAUGAGAUAUGAGGGCAA